rnacentral:rRNA from 1 species
AGUGAACGCUGGCGGUAUGCCUAACACAUGCAAGUCGAACGGCAGCACAGUAAGAGCUUGCUCUUACGGGUGGCGAGUGGCGGACGGGUGAGGAAUACAUCGGAAUCUACUUUUUCGUGGGGGAUAACGUAGGGGAACUUACGCUAAUACCGCAUACGACCUACGGGUGAAAGCAGGGGAUCUUCGGACCUUGCGCGAUUGAAUGAGCCGAUGUCGAAUUAGCUAGUUGGCGGGGUAAAGGCCCACCAAGGCGACGAUCCGUAGCUGGUCUGAGAGGAUGAUCAGCCACACUGGAAGUGAGACACGGUCCAGACUCCUACGGGAGGCAGCAGUGGGGAAUAUUGGACAAUGGGCGCAAGCCUGAUCCAGCAAUACCGCGUGGGUGAAGAAGGCCUUCGGGUUGUAAAGCCCUUUUGUUGGGAAAGAAAAGCAGCAGGUUAAUACCCCGCUGUUCUGACGGUACCCAAAGAAUAAGCACCGGCUAACUUCGUG